UACGGAGGGUGCGAGCGUUAUCCGGAUUCACUGGGUUUAAAGGGUGCGUAGGUGGGCAGGUAAGUCAGUGGUGAAAUCUCCCGGCUUAACCGGGAGGGUGCGGCGGAAACUGUUCUGCUGGAGUGAGGGAGAGGCAAGCGGAAUUCCAGGUGUAGCGGUGAAAUGCGUAGAUAUCAGGAGGAACACCUAUUGCGAAGGCAGCUCGCUGGGACGUAACUGACGCUGAGACGCGAAAGCUAGGGGAGCAAACGGG
rnacentral:rRNA from 1 species